GGCCUAAUGGCCCAAUGGCAAGGCGCUUGACUACGACUUCGUUCGAUAUCAAGAGAUUCCAGGUUGUAAGUAGCUCUCAGAAGCCUCCUGUUCGAAUCGCAAAGCUGACACCCCCGCUGCGACCCCUGGUUAGGUCA